AACGUUUUCCCUAUCACAAGGGGAGAGCAUUGUCCAAACUGGGCAGAAGCGUGCUGGCUCCAUUGGAGCCAGCACAGCACGGAAAGGCUCCUGUGUUUGGGAUAGAGGCAGGACUCUGCCGGAAGUUACACAACGUCAUGUGAUGGCAGACAUGGGGCUUUGUCCCCAAAGAAGGCUUAAAGCAUCUUAACAGGAUUCUUAUUUUGCUGCUAUGGCUGGCUGGAGUGGAGUGGGGUGAAAUCCACACUUGGAGGACAAGACACAUUUUCCACUGCAAUCAAGCCCAUCAAGUGUCAGAAGUAUCUGCCUUCUUCAAAGAGCAAGUCUACAAGGGCAAGAAAACCUGGACUCACCCCAAAUCUACUACUGCCUGCCUUCACAAUGUCACUGAGGAUCUUUAAAAAAAGAGUUAGACUGAUUUUGCCCCACUUUGGGCAAAGUCCAAGGAUACUCCAGAGUCUGCUGGGAAUUUUAGAGUAUGCUGUAUCACUGAAAGUCAAGACAGCAGGAUCGGGUCCAAUUUGAACUUAUUUGCUCUCUAGAAGGUAUAUUGGCACCAUAACCCUUUCCCUGAGCUAAUUGGUCCUGGAAAAGAGAAUGGACUAUGUACUCCCAGCCAGCCACAGAGCUCCAUCCAAGCUCCUGUUUAUUAUGGCCACAUUAUUCUGAUAUCUGCAGAGGCAUCCAAGCAACCUGCAAGAAGAUGGGGAUAUCAUAUUGAAGAGGACUAGGGCUAAAGUAGCGAUGAAAAAGAAUACCAGCUAGGAAUAAGAGGACCUUUAAGUGUAAAUUUACUGGUUGGAAGCAAAGAACUCAUACACGGUGAAAAUAAGGAGGGGAGUGCAGGAUAAUGCAGGAGGAGGAAAUCUGAGGGAAAAGCAGACACUGAUCAGAGAAGUGCCAGAAGAGAACAAAGGAAGAUAAAAAUUAAGAGAAUUUUGUGCAUGCUCAAAGGUGUUGGCUAUAAAAACUGAACUGCAUCUCCAUUCAAUGUGGCACUUUACACCCAGCAAGAUGACUUGAUCAGUUAAACUUGUUGCGCCGAUCUCCUGCUUUCAGCAUUCGAUAGGAAAGAAAACCCUGAAGGUUUUUGGGCUAAUUAAUAAUAAGAGGGACAUGAUAGUGAGCCCAACAGUCUCCUCUUUCUUUUUACUGGUCACACAAGUACCUCUGUUGAUGUCAAAAAAGGGGUACCUAGGAUAGUAUGGAACUCAGACUGUGGCUAACUGGGACUGGUGGCUAAGACAUGGAGGGUGAGAUGACCAUCCAGCAAAGCUGAUGCAGUUUUGGUCUGGUUGGAUCAUGUGGAUGCUGAGAUGGUGCUACAAUGAGUUCAGAUGGGUUUAUCUAGCAGCCUCUAGGGCCAGUUCAGACUGGCUUAAGAUUUAUCAACCAGUGAGAUUUAUCAUCCAAACAAGAUUUUAAAAAAUGUAAAUGGCUGGUUGAUUAAAUGCCCAUCCAGCACACAUUUUACAAUGCUUACGUAGCAUAACAGGCUAAAUAAUCACAAUAAUGAAAUACUUUGAGCCAAGUAAUAUUGAUUCUGCGCUUAUUAUUACAUAGGAACCAAAUAA
rnacentral:lncRNA from 11 species